rnacentral:rRNA from 1 species
GCUACGGGGGGCAGCAGUGGGGAAUAUUGCACAAUGGGGGAAACCCUGAUGCAGCGACGCCGCGUGAGUGAAGAAGUAUUUCGGUAUGUAAAGCUCUAUCAGCAGGGAAGAAGAAAGACGGUACCUGACUAAGAAGCCCCGGCUAACUACGUGCAAGCAGCCGCGGUAAUACGUAGGGGGCAAGCGUUAUCCGGAUUUACUGGGUGUAAAGGGAGCGUAGACGGCUGUGCAAGUCUGAAGUGAAAUCCUGCGGCUUAACCGCAGAACUGCAUUUGAAACUGUUGAUCUUGAGUACUGGAGAGGCAGACGGAAUUCCUAGUGUAGCGGUGAAAUGCGUAGAUAUUAGGAGGAACACCAGUGGCGAAGGCGGUCUGCUGGACAGCAACUGACGGUGAGGCGCGAAAGCGUGGGGAGCAAACAGGAUUAGAUACCCUUGUAGUC